rnacentral:rRNA from 1 species
UACGUAGGGUGCAAGCGUUAAUCGGAAUUACUGGGCGUAAAGCGUGCGCAGGCGGUUUUGUAAGACAGGUGUGAAAUCCCCGGGCUUAACCUGGGAACUGCAUUUGUGACUGCAUAGCUAGAGUACGGUAGAGGGGGAUGGAAUUCCGCGUGUAGCAGUGAAAUGCGUAGAUAUGCGGAGGAACACCGAUGGCGAAGGCAAUCCCCUGGACCUGUACUGACGCUCAUGCACGAAAGCGUGGGGAGCAAACAGG